GCAAUUGCCCUCGUACCGAACUCCGCAGGACGAAGCGUGUAUUUUUUUCCCAUCCAGACAACCUAGAGAAACCCAAAAAAGAGGGAAGCCAAGCGCCUUUCCAUGCGUAGAUUGCCCGCCACUUCCGUUAAGGCAUCUAUUUUACUGAUGAAAAGAGGCCUUCUGAGCGUUACCACAGCUCAAGCUUGGCGUCCCAGCCGGAUCUAGGUUUGAUUUGCAAUUAGGGAAAGUUGUUCAAGGGAACAAGUCUUAGGAGAAUUCUAAGGACAUGAGAUUGGAGUACCAGAAAUGGGGAAUUUUUCUUUUGGUGAGUACUUACGAGGAUCUAUGAAGCUUCUGAAAUUAAUUCCAGAACACUUAGAGUUUUGUUUGUACAUUUCUGGAUCAAAGUUUCAAAGCAUACUGGGGAGUUUGAGAGGGUCCAUGUCUCCAAAAAAAGUUACUAAUUAAUGUGGUAUAAUUGACAAAGGUAGGAAUUGAUCAGUGGAGAACCUCUUCGUGGCGUUGUUCUCCUUGGCCUACCAAAUAAACAGUGCCUUUUAUUUUCCCUUCGAGUUAAGCAGAGGUGCUUGAAAAAUUUUUAUAAAUGCCGUCCUUUAACGAGCCUUUCCUUUGUUACCAGAUUAAAGUGUUAAAUAUAAAGCUGGA
rnacentral:lncRNA from 1 species